rnacentral:lncRNA from 1 species
AUUAAAACGCAUCAGUACAUUUUAAAAUGCCUCAUUGAAAUUGCUGCUGUUAGUAAGAAAGAGAAUUAAUAUUUCCUGAGGCCUGAGGAUAGGGAUCCAGAAAAAGGUUUGCAAUUACUGUUCUGGGAGACAAGAAUGGGAGGGAAUAACUGAGAAUGUCCACAGAGCAGAAAUCAAGUACCAAAAUUCCACCAAUGACUCUGAAGUCCACUGAAAACCUUCAAGCUGGAGGUAAGAAGCAAUAUAUGACUCUUUGAGAAAGAAGUUGGUCUCAUCCAUCUUAAAAGGAGCAAGCUAUGGAACCUACCUUGGAUGGAUAAAACAUGAAUAAGCAGACAAUGGCUAAUGUUCCCACCUUCAGCAAGGUGUUCAAGUGGCUAGAUACUGGCCACCUCUAAGCACUCAAGAAUGAAAUUUAUUUUCUUCAUGCAUGUUAAUUAUAUUUUAGGUCUGGUUUGGAGCAGGAAGAGAAACUUCUCUGUAUUCCCUACAGGGUGACCUUUGUCAAAUGAGAAAUGAGUGGAGUUUGAUUAUGCUAAUUAUCUUGGCCUUGCAGCUACUUUGAAUACCAUCAGCCUUCGUAUUUGUCUGAAUAAACUGUGUUGGGAGGUUCA